GACGAACGCUGGCGGCGUGCUUAACACAUGCAAGUCGAACGGAAAGGCCCUGCUUUUGUGGGGUGCUCGAGUGGCGAACGGGUGCGUAACACGUGUGUAACCUGCCCUUGUCUUUGGGGUAACUUCAGGAAACUGGGGCUAAUACCGGAUCGGAGCUCCUGCUGGGGGGUGGGGGUUGGAAAGUUUCGGCGGUUGGGGCUGGACGAGCGGCUUAUCGGCUUGUUGGUGGGGGAGUGGCUUACCAAGGCUUUGACGGGUAGCCGGCCUGAGAGGGUGACCGGCCACAUUGGGACUGAGGUACGGCCCAGACUGCUACGGGGGGCAGCAGUGGGGAAUAUUGCACAAUGGGCGGAAGCCGGAUGCAGAAACGCCGCGUGCGGAAUGACGGCCUUCGGGUUGUAAACCGCUUUCGCCUGUGACGAAGCGUGAGUGACGGUAAUGGAUAAAGAAGCACCGGCUAACUACGUG
rnacentral:rRNA from 1 species